rnacentral:tRNA from 1 species
AGUCCUGUAGUGUAGUGGUCAAGCAUGUCGGGUUUUGGGCCCGGAGACCCCGGUUCAAAUCCGGGCGGGCCCA